AAUACGUUCCCGGACCUUGUACACACCGCCCGUCAAGCCAUGGAAGCCGGGUGUACCUAAAGUCGAUAACCGCAAGGAGUCGCCUAGGGUAAAACUGGUGACUGGGGCU
rnacentral:rRNA from 1 species